rnacentral:rRNA from 1 species
GAUGAACGCUGGCGGCGCGCCUAAUACAUGCAAGUCGAGCGAGAAGACGUAGCAAUACGUUUGUAAAGCGGCGAACGGGUGAGGAAUACAUGGGUAACCUACCCUAGAGUGGGGAAUAACUAGCCGAAAGGUUAGCUAAUACCGCGUACGCUCCUUGGACUUCGGUUCAGGGAGGAAAGCGAUACCGAGGGUAUCGCGCUCUUGGAUGGGCUCAUGUCCUAUCAGCUUGUUGGUGAGGUAACGGCUCACCAAGGCUUCGACGGGUAGCUGGUCUGAGAGGACGAUCAGCCACACUGGCACUGCGACACGGGCCAGACUCCUACGGGAGGCAGCAGUAAGGAAUAUUGCGCAAUGGGCGAAAGCCUGACGCAGCGACGCCGCGUGGGGGAGUGAA